AGUGAACGCUGGCGGUAGGCCUAACACAUGCAAGUCGAACGGCAGCACAGUAAGAGCUUGCUCUUACGGGUGGCGAGUGGCGGACGGGUGAGGAAUACAUCGGAAUCUACUUUUUCGUGGGGGAUAACGUAGGGAAACUUACGCUAAUACCGCAUACGACCUACGGGUGAAAACAGGGGAUCUUCGGACCUUGCGCGAUUGAAUGAGCCGAUGUCGGAUUAGCUAGUUGGCGGGGUAAAGGCCCACCAAGGCGACGAUCCGUAGCUGGUCUGAGAGGAUGAUCAGCCACACGGGAACGGAGACACGGUCCAGACUCCUACGGGGGGCAGCGGUGGGGAAUUUUGGAAAAUGGGGGAAAGCCUGAUCCACCCAUCCCGCGGGGGUGAAGAAGGCCUUCGGGUUGUAAAGCCCUUUUGUUGGGAAAAAAAAGGAGCAGGUUAAUCCCCCGCUGUUCUGACGGUACCCAAAAAAUAAGCACCGGCUAACUUCGU
rnacentral:rRNA from 1 species